rnacentral:tRNA from 1 species
GACUGAGUACGCAAACUGGCAAAGCGACCAGGUCGAGAGCCUGGUGAUUUUGUGGGUUCAACUCCCACCUCAGUCA